rnacentral:sRNA from 1 species
CAAUACCAGAUGCAAGAUGUGUUGGAGAAAUCUGAUCAUCUAAUAGCUGCAGCAAAAGAGCUGUUUCCUCGUAGGCGCACAGGGUUUCCAAAUAUAACAGUGGCUCCUGAUUCCUCUCAGGGUCCCAUUGUGGUAAAUCAAGACCCUAUCACCCAAUCUAUCUUUAAUGAGUCUGUCAUAGAACCUCAGGCUCUUAAUGAUGUGGAUGGUGAAGAAGAAGGAACUGUUACUAGCCAGUCAGGAGAAAGUGAGAAUGAGAAUGAGUUGGAUAACUCUCUAAACUCUCAGUCUAACACGAAUACAGACAGGUUUCUCCAGCAACUAACGGAAGAGAAUUCUGAGUUAAUUAGUAAGUUGUGGACUGAUAUUCAGCAGAAAAUAGUAACCCAGUCACAAAUAACUCCUCCAGGAACGCCAUCAUCUGCUCUUUCAUCAGGGGAACAAAGAGCUGCUCUGAAUGCUACCAAUGCUGUCAACAGAUUCCAAACCAGGCUUCAGCCUGAAGAAUCUACUGAGACUCUAGACUCAAGCUAUGUUGUGGGACACGUGCUGAACUCAAGGAAGCAAAAACAGCUGUUAAAUAAAGUGAAAAGAAAACCGAAUUUGCAUGCUCUUUCCAAGCCAAAGAAAAACAUGUUAUCAGGUAGCACAACCUCUGCAGACUUACCAAAUAGGACAAAUUCCAACCUGGAUGUCCUCAGACACAUGAUACAUGAAGUGGAACAUGAAAUGGAAGAAUAUGAGCGGUGGACAGGUCGCGAGGUCAAGGGACUGCAGAGCAGUCAGGGUCUUACAGGCUUCACUUUGUCGCUGGUGAGCUCCCUCUGUCGCCUGGUUCGGUACCUUAAAGAGAGUGAGAUCCAGCUACGUAAAGAAGUAGAGACAAGACAACAACUGGAACAAGUAUUAGGUGAUCAUCGAGAGCUCAUUGAUGCUCUGACAGCUGAAAUUCUUCGUCUUAGAGAAGAAAACGCUGCUACACAGGCAAGACUUCAGCAGUACAUGGUCACAACAGAUGAGCAACUGAUAUCACUCACACAUGCUAUUAAGAACUGUCCUGUGAUAAAUAACAGACAAGAAAUUCAGGCAUCAGAAAGCGGAGCCACAGGUAGAAGAGUUAUGGACAGUCCAGAGGGUCCAGUUGUAAAUGCCAAUGUCUCAGUGCCAUUGAUGUUCAGAGAGGAAGUGGCUGAAUUCCCACAGGAACAGUUGCCUGUUAAACUGUCUCAGGUGCCAGACCCUCCAGAUAAGAUGAAUCUGGCCAAGAAUUUUCCAGCACAUAUUUUUGAGCCAGCUGUGUUGUUAACACCACCCAGGCAGAAGAGCAACUUAAAAUUCUCUCCUCUUCAGGACGUAUUGAGAAGGACUGUUCAAACUCGUCCUGCUCCACGACUUCUUCCAACUGUGGAAAUAAUUGAGAAGGAACAAAAUUGGGAAGAGAAGACCUUACCUAUUGAUACAGACAGUCAGAAUUCAAGUGAAGAGAAUCGUCUCUUCACUCAGAGAUGGAGAGUCUCUCAUAUGGGAGAAGAUUUGGAGAACAAAACUCAGGCGCCUUUUGUUAACCUCUCACAGCCCCUCUGCAGUUCCCAUUCCAACACUCAACAGUCAAGAAGCCCCACAUUUUCAGAAGAGCUCCCAGUACUGGGAGAUGGGCAGCAGCUGAGAACAAAUGAGUCAUUAAUACAAAGAAAGGACAUAAUGACACGAAUUGCUGAUUUGACAUUGCAGAAUUCAGCUAUUAAGGCACAUAAGAAUAAUAUUAUUGAUCCCAGAGGAGAGCAAGGGGAUGGACUCCGGGAGUUGAACAAACAAGAAAGUGCAAGUGACAUGACUUCUACUUUUCCAGUAGCACAGUCUCUAACACCAGGUAGUAUGGAGGAACGGAUUGCAGAAUUGAAUCGACAAAGUAUGGAGGCUCGUGGAAAACUACUGCAGUUGAUAGAGCAGCAGAAACUUGUUGGUUUGAAUCUUUCUCCACCAAUGUCACCUGUUCAGUUACCUCUCAGAGCAUGGACUGGUUGGUCACAAAUUCAUGAUUUAAAAACUAGAAAUAUGAAGGUUUUCACUUUUCUUGAUUUUGCAAGUUUAUAUUAAGCCAAAAGAAAUAUCACAGCAUAUAUUUUGGUGCCUUCAAUUUUGCACAGAAAGAAACAGCCCUAACUCACAGGAUAAGUGACAGAAAUGUGAUUAGAAGGCAGAUUUCCUGAUUCUUUCUAUCCUAUGAUGCCUAUAGUUAAUCUUCGGUGUCUGAGUUCCUAAAUUAUCCUACAUCUAAAUGGGAUUCAUUAUAGUGUACAGUUCACUUAGGUCAUAUGCUGCAACUAAGCAUGAAAUAUCUGAAUGUUAAUUUAGAAUUUCAUCAGCAAUGAAUUACAAGUUAUUAUUCUGUAAAACAGUUAAAACAUUUUCACUCAAUUAAAUUUUUUGGUACAUUUAGGAAUGUGGAAAGCUAGAGGGGAUUCUGAAUAAUAAAAUAGUAACUGAAAAAAUUGUCGUAGUAUUCACAUUCAAAAAGAUACUGAUGAAACGAAGUAUAUAUCAAGUUGCUUUUUAUCAGAAAUUGCAUUAUUAAGGCCCUCAAGGGACAGAGCUACAUGAAGAGUACAGAGAGAUUGAUUUUGGCCCAGUAAAAGAGAAGGCUCUAAUUGUCAGGAAUAGAAAAAGCUGCGUGUACCAGUAAUUGAUGUGUUCUCUGAGAUGUUCAAACAUUGGUGUUUGAAGGGGACUCAUAUGUCUUAUUUCUGGUUGAAGUAGGUUACCUUUAAGAUAUCUUCCAAUAAGAGUUUUCCCCUCAGAAAUUAUUUCCUUUUUGAAAUACAGACCCAGAAAGCAGACUCUUUUGGAAAUUGCUGGAAAAAGAUGGUAAUGCAUUUCCCCAGGGCCCUCUCUGUUUAUUCUAGGCUUCCUCAAAUGACAGUUUUGUCUACUGUUCUUCAUAGUUAUGAAGCCUAGAGACAACUUCUGAUUAGAAUAAAUAAAUCAAUUAACUAUGUAUGAACAUGUACUAUGUGCGAACAUGUACUGUGUGCCUGCCAUGUGUGGGCUUGAAUACUCUAGCAUUUGAGUAGGGGAGCAGGCAACAAACAAAUCAGUAUUUGGGAUAAUAUCAGUUAGUGCUAAGUGCAAGGACGAAAAAUAAAGCAGAUCAGCCUUAAGAAUAAUUGUGUGUUUAAAUAUACAUCUUCCAUUUCAGUAUUUGUGUAUGGUUAAAAUAUGCUUUUAUUUAUGUUAUGUAAUUUAGUCCUCAACACACUUUAAGAGGAGACAGGGCUAAUAUUAUACAUAUUUGAUAAAUAAGUAAACUGAGGCACAAAGAGGUUAUGUGAUUUAUCAAGUUACAAAGCAAGUUGUGGAUUUGCAACUGCGUUCUUUCCUGUCCAGUGAUUUAUCUCUAAAGUAUUCUUUUUAUAAGUAAAAUUCUUAUAUUUAUUUAAAAAAAAACCUCUGUGGACUUUAAUGAUAAAAAUAAAAAUAAACCAUAUGCCAUG